rnacentral:rRNA from 1 species
GACGAACGCUGGCGGCGUGCCUAAUACAUGCAAGUAGAACGCUGAAGGAGGAGCUUGCUUCUCUGGAUGAGUUGCGAACGGGUGAGUAACGCGUAGGUAACCUGCCUGGUAGCGGGGGAUAACUAUUGGAAACGAUAGCUAAUACCGCAUAAGAGUAGAUGUUGCAUGACAUUUGCUUAAAAGGUGCAAUUGCAUCACUACCAGAUGGACCUGCGUUGUAUUAGCUAGUUGGUGGGGUAACGGCUCACCAAGGCGACGAUACAUAGCCGACCUGAGAGGGUGAUCGGCCACACUGGGACUGAGACACGGCCCAGACUCCUACGGGAGGCAGCAGUAGGGAAUCUUCGGCAAUGGACGGAAGUCUGACCGAGCAACGCCGCGGGAGUGAAGAAGGUUUUCGGAUCGUAAAGCUCUGUUGUAAGAGAAGAGCGAGUGUGAGAGUGGAAAGUUCACACUGUGACGGUAUCUUACCAGAAAGGGACGGCUAACUACGUG